CAAGAGGUAGUUUAAUUAAAAUAUUAAUUUUGGGGAUUAAUGAUAAAAAAUUUUUUUUUCUCUUGA
rnacentral:tRNA from 1 species